UAGAUACUCUUUUCUCCUGUUGUCCCCGCU
rnacentral:piRNA from 1 species